rnacentral:rRNA from 1 species
ACCGGCAAACGGGUGCGGAACACGUACGCAACCUUCCUUUAAGUGGGGGAUAGCCCAGGGAAACUUGGAUUAAUACCCCGUAAUAUUAUGAGGUGGCAUCAUCUUAUAAUUAUAGCUUCGGCGCUUAGAGAUGGGCGUGCGUCUGAUUAGGUAGUUGGCGGGGUAACGGCCCACCAAGCCUACGAUCAGUAACUGGUGUGAGAGCACGACCAGUCACACGGGCACUGAGACACGGGCCCGACUCCUACGGGAGGCAGCAGUAAGGAAUAUUGGUCAAUGGACGCAAGUCUGAACCAGCCAUGCCGCGUGAAGGAUGAAGGUCCUCUGGAUUGUAAACUUCUUUUACCUGGGAAGAAACCCAUAAUUUCUAUUGUGGUUGACGGUACCAGAUGAAUAAGCACCGGCUAACUCCGUGCCAGCAGCCGCGGUAAUACGGAGGGUGCAAGCGUUAUCCGGAUUCACUGGGUUUAAAGGGUGCGUAGGUGGGCAGGUAAGUCAGUGGUGAAAUCUCCGGGCUUAACCCGGAAACUGCCGUUGA